GACGAACGCUGGCGGCGUGCUUAACACAUGCAAGUCGAACGGAAAGGCCCUGCUUUUGUGGGGUGCUCGAGUGGCGAACGGGUGAGUAACACGUGAGUAACCUGCCCUUGACUUUGGGAUAACUUCAGGAAACUGGGGCUCAUACCGGAUAGGAGCUCCUGCUGCAUGUUGGGGGUUGGAAAGUUUCGGCGGUUGGGGAUGGACUCGCGGCUUAUCAGCUUGUUGGUGGGGUAGUGGCUGACCAAGGCUUUGACGGGUAGCCGGCAUGAGAGGGUGACCGGCCACAUGGGGACUGAGAGACGGCCCAGACGCCUACGGGAGGCAGCAGGGGGGAAUAUUGCACAAUGGGCGGAAGCCUGAUGCAGCAACGCCGCGUGCGUGAUGACGGCCUUCGGGUGGUAAACCGCUUUCGCCGGUGACGAAGCGUGAGUGACGGUAAUGGGUAAAGAAGCACCGGCUAACUACGUG
rnacentral:rRNA from 1 species